rnacentral:misc_RNA from 1 species
GAUGAAGAACGCAGCGAAAUGCGAUAAGUAAUGUGAAUUGCAGAAUUCAGUGAAUCAUCGAAUCUUUGAACGCACCUUGCGCCCUUUGGCUAUUCCGAAGGGCAUGCCUGUUUGAGUAUCGUGAACACCUCAACUCUCAUGGUUUGCCAUGAUGAGCUUGGACUUGGGGGUUUUGCUGGCCUUCGGUCGGCUCCUCUCAAACGGAUCAGCUUUCCAGUGUUUGGUGGCGUCACUGGUGUGAUAACUAUCUACGCCUGUGGUUUUCUGCCAGAUAACCUUCAGCGAUGGAGGUUCGCUGGGGCUCAUAAAUGUCUCUCUUCAGUGGAGACAGCUUUUUGGACGUUUGAUCUCAAAUCAGGUAGGACUACCCGCUGAACUUAAGCAUAUCAAUAGCGGAGGA